CACUCAUCGAGACCGGCGGAGGGAUAGGCCCUUUGAUGCCGGGGCAACCUGCGGGAAACGUUCCCGUCACGGUGCCAAAUCCUGCGGAGGCGCCACGGCGCCACCGAGAGAUGGGCG
rfam:Rhodanobacter sp. OK091 genome assembly, contig: Ga0115501_106